rnacentral:rRNA from 1 species
CCUACGGGAGGCAGCAGUGAGGAAUAUUGGUCAAUGGCCGCAGGGCUGAACCAGCCAAGUCGCGUGAGGGAUGACGGUCCUAUGGAUUGUAAACCUCUUUUGUCAGGGAGCAAAGGGCGCCACGUGUGGCGCUUUGCGAGUACCUGAAGAAAAAGCAUCGGCUAACUCCGUGCCAGCAGCCGCGGUAAUACGGAGGAUGCGAGCGUUAUCCGGAUUUAUUGGGUUUAAAGGGUGCGCAGGCGGAAUGGCAAGUCAGCGGUAAAAUUUCGGGGCUCAACCCCGUCGUGCCGUGGAAACUGGCGUUCUUGAGUGAGCGAGAAGUAUGUGGAAUGCGUGGUGUAGCGGUGAAAUGCAUAGAUAUCACGCAGAACUCCGAUUGCGAAGGCAGCAUACCGGCGCUCAACUGACGCUCAUGCACGAAAGCGUGGGUAUCGAACAGGAUUAGAUACCCCUGUAGUC